rnacentral:rRNA from 1 species
AGUUUGAUCCUGGCUCAGGAUGAACGCUGGCGGCGCGCCUAACACAUGCAAGUCGAACGGCACCCCUCUCCGGAGGGAAGCGAGUGGCGAACGGCUGAGUAACACGUGGAGAACCUGCCCCCUCCCCCGGGAUAGCCGCCCGAAAGGACGGGUAAUACCGGAUACCCCCGGGCGCCGCAUGGCGCCCGGGCUAAAGCCCCGACGGGAGGGGAUGGCUCCGCGGCCCAUCAGGUAGACGGCGGGGUGACGGCCCACCGUGCCGACAACGGGUAGCCGGGUUGAGAGACCGACCGGCCAGAUUGGGACUGAGACACGGCCCAGACUCCUACGGGAGGCAGCAGUGGGGAAUCUUGCGCAAUGGGGGGAACCCUGACGCAGCGACGCCGCGUGCGGGACGGAGGCCUUCGGGUCGUAAACCGCUUUCAGCAGGGAAGAGUCAAGACUGUACCUGCAGAAGAAGCCCCGGCUAACUACGUGCCAGCAGCCGCGGUAAUACGUAGGGGGCGAGCGUUAUCCGGAUUCAUUGGGCGUAAAGCGCGCGUAGGCGGCCCGGCAGGCCGGGGGUCGAAGCGGGGGGCUCAACCCCCCGAAGCCCCCGGAACCUCCGCGGCUUGGGUCCGGUAGGGGAGGGUGGAACACCCGGUGUAGCGGUGGAAUGCGCAGAUAUCGGGUGGAACACCGGUGGCGAAGGCGGCCCUCUGGGCCGAGACCGACGCUGAGGCGCGAAAGCUGGGGGAGCGAACAGGAUUAGAUACCCUGGUAGUCCCAGCCGUAAACGAUGGACGCUAGGUGUGGGGGGACGAUCCCCCCGUGCCGCAGCCAACGCAUUAAGCGUCCCGCCUGGGGAGUACGGCCGCAAGGCUAAAACUCAAAUGAAUUGA